UCUAGAGAAAAUGUGUCAAGUCCUGCAGCAUAAAAGCACUGAACCGACUUUGUCUCGUGUGUUUGAACUAUUUUUUUCAGAAACUUAACGAAUUAUUGUUAAAGAUAAUUGACUAAUGAUAGUUUAUUGUAAUUUAGAUGGUGAAUCUGUACCUACAGUUGGAUGACAGUGAUGGGCAGCAUGUCUCUAAUCAAACUUUCCCCGUUAACACAAGACAGAGUUUGUAUGACUCAAUUCUGCUAUGUACAAAUUGCCAUUGAUGAGGAAAUGGUGAAACUCAACAAUCGGAUGACAGUGAUGGGCAGCCUAUCUAAUCAAGCUUUCCCCAUUGCUGUUAACACAGGACAGAGUUUGUACGACUCAAUUCUGCUACAUACAAAUUGCCAUUGAUAAGAGAGUAAGCCAUCUACAGAAAGGUUCCAACUCUAUUGAAGAACAAACCUUCACCACACCCUGAUUUGUUUUGUUGUGGAUAGAAUGUCCAAAUUCAAGUUAGGACAAAAAAGACUAGUAAACAAACGGUAUUAUAGAGAGGAGAGACUGGUGACGUCACGGAAAUCUGCCAAAAGUUCGUGGAGAACUGGUUGGCUUAUCUACCGUUGAUCCUUAAAUAUGCAGUGAAGGCGAAGAAGACAAUUGAUGCUGUGAGUCGAAGACCAGCUUAUUGCAAAGUGUUA